UACGAAGGGGGCUAGCGUUGCUCGGAAUCACUGGGCGUAAAGCGCACGUAGGCGGAUUGUUAAGUCAGGGGUGAAAUCCUGGAGCUCAACUCCAGAACUGCCUUUGAUACUGGCGAUCUUGAGUCCGGGAGAGGUGAGUGGAACUGCGAGUGUAGAGGUGAAAUUCGUAGAUAUUCGCAAAGAACACCAGUGGCGAGGCGGACUCACUGGCCCGGUACUGGACGCUGAGGUGCG
rnacentral:rRNA from 1 species